CGCGGGGCAGGCCCGGACCCCGGGCCGUGAGGAGCUGGAGCGGCAACCGGUGACGCGGCGGGAGCCGGCCUUCUGAUUUUCUGUGGGGGAGGACACAACCUUUAAAGUUCUUUGAAUAAAGUAACUCUUCUGGAUAUCAGGUUCUGCCCACCCAAAGUCUGUCAUCAAAGUAUCCAUCUUUCUUACCUGCCGUUUAAGAUCUUCAGUGACUGAGAAAUAUCUAUGAUAGUCUUGAUCCAGACCCCUGCAAGGACCAGGCUCAUAUUUCUCAUACCAGCCCUUGAUUUUCUGCUCGAGGUCAGCGUUGGCCUCCUCCAGAGCACGCACAUGGUCCAGGUAGGAGGCCAGGCGGCCAUUGAGGUUCUGCAUGGUCACCUUUUCAUUCCCAGAGAGGAGGCUGUGCUCCUUUCCAAGAAAACCAACACAGAUGCCACUUCCCAACCCUCUACCACCGUUAUAGAAACCUCCUCCAGAAGAAACGCUCCCAAGAGGACAAGAAAAACUGCUUCCUGCUCUCGACCCGCCACAUGCAUUCCCAGCCCUGAAGCCUGUUCUUCCGCCAGACCACCGACCAGCACCCGCUGGAGAGCAGAGGCGCCUGGAUCCACUAGAAAUUGGAAAAGGCAUGACGGCAGCACAGCCAAGCGACCCUUUCUCAGAGAGAAGCAAAGCCAAAGCACACCAUCCGUGGAAGGUCGGCGUUGGCCUCCUCCAGGGCGCGCACGUUGUCCAGGUAGGAGGCCAGGCGGUCAUUGAGGUUCUGCAUGGUCACCUUCUCGUUGCCGGAAAGGAGGCCGUGUUCAUUCCCGGUGAAGGCAGCACAGGAAGCACUUCCUCCGCCCAGCCCCGCGCCAUAGCCUCCAGC